rnacentral:lncRNA from 1 species
UUAGAGUCACUGUGAGAACCUGGAGAGGGAGAGAGAUCCUGCUCCUAUAUAAUGGGAAUUUCUUUGUGAGAUCAUUUCUGUUAUGACCAGACUUCUGUUUGUUAUGUCCACCAAAAUUUGGACAGACACAAGAAUGGAUUUAACUAGUUAUCAGAGUUCCUCACCCAGUGGCUGGCCAUGUACCGAGUUUCAUUAUUGUGGUGUACAUACCGUAGUUAUGUGACUGAAAGAUGCUGCUAUUCUUUAUUCUGUGUACUACACCUUUAAGUAUAGAGGACUCCUUCUGCUUGCUGCAGGAAGAACUGGGUCAGACAACUAUCAUGUUCAGCUCACCUGACUCAAGCUGGUGAUGUAGAUGAGAGCUCCCCUUCAGACCAGUUGGAGCGGUGCUAAACUAGACUCAGUCAAAGGGCCCUGCUGCUGCAUUCCAUAUUAUAUAUCCAACAGAUUGAACUUUUUACUGGAUUCUGUUAAAAAUGGAUGUUUGGAUCUCAUACUACAAAUUCAUCAGCAUCACCAAUACUGCAGUAGAAGAAGAGACAUCCAUAUCACCACCAUCAGCCAGUGACUAAGGCCUGGUCUACACUAAGAGGUUAUGUUGAAUUUAGCAGCAUUAAAUCGAAUUAACCCUGCACCCGUCCACACAACGAAGCUAUUUAGUUCAACAUAGAGGUCUCUUAGAUUCAAUUUCUGUACUCCUCCAAAACGAGGGAAGUAGCGCUAAAUUCAACAUGGCCAUGUCAAAUUAGGGUAGGUGUGGAUGGAAAUCGACACUAAUAGCUCCGGGAGAUAUCCCACAGUGCACCACUCUGUUGACGCUCUGGACAGCAGUCCGAGCUUGGAUGCUCUGACCAGCCACACAGGAAAAGCCCCGGGAAAAUUUGAAUUCCUUUUCCUGUCUGGCCAGUUUGAAUCUCAUUUCCUGUUUGGACAUCGUGGCGA